ACAUGCAUACAACAUAGUGUUAAUGCAUCGGAUCCCAUUAGAAAUCCAUAGAUAAGCACACUAAUGCUAGAGUAGUACUGGGAUGGGUGACCGCCCGAGAAUUCCUAGUGUUUUACAUGCC
rnacentral:rRNA from 1 species